GUCCUUGCCGUAAACGAUGUGGAUUAGGUGUUGGGGGUGUCGAUCCCUCCAGCGCCGACGCUAACGCAUUAAAUCCACCACCUGGGGGAGUACGGUCGCAAGACUGAAACUCAAAGAAAUUGACGGGGACCCGCACAAGCGGUGGAGCAUGUGGUUUAAUUCGAGGCUACGCGAAGAACCUUACCCAGGCUUGAAAAGCAGUUGACAGCCUACGAAAGUAGGUCUUCUCGCAAGAGACAAUUGUACAGGUGCUGCAUGGCUGUCGU
rnacentral:rRNA from 1 species